UUUUGUUUUUCGUUCAUUUUUUUUUAUAUAAAUAAGGCCGUUAGUUUUCUCGUUUGAAUUGUUUUACAUUGUCUUAUCAGGGCCUUUUAUAGCUGACUAUGCUGUAUGGGCUUUGUUCAUUGUUGAAGGCCGUACGGUGACCUAUAGUUGUUAAUGUCUGUGUCAUUUUGGUCUCUUGUGGACAGUUGUCUCAUUGGCAAUCAUACCUCAUCUUCUUUUUUAUAUGUGUA
rnacentral:lncRNA from 1 species